GCUUUGUAUAUGUAACAUGAGAUUGCGGACGGCUCAUUAUAACAGUUAUUGUUUUAUUGAUUUUAUUUUUUAGGUGGAUACCCGUUGUAAUUCUAGUGCUAAUACAUGUCAUAAAAAUUGUAUAUUUUUAUAUUAUUGAAUUAUUAUAUAAUCAAAAUGUUUCGGCAUAAUUGUGGAUGAUUUUUAAUAAUUAAUUUUUAACGCAUUUUGACAUGCGACUUAUCAUUUUAGCAUCUGACCUAUCAGUUAUUUAGCAGUGUAUUGGACUACUGAGGCAUUGACGGGUAACAGAGAAUUAGGGUUCUGUUCCGGAGAGGAAGCCUGCGAUACAGCUUCUACUUCUAAGGAAGGCAGCAGGCGCGUAAAUUACCCAAUUUUGAUAAAGAGAGGUAGUGACAAGAAAUCCCAAGAUUUUUCCUUAUGGAUAAAUAAUUGUAUUGAGAACAGAGUAGCCAUAUUAACGAUAAACUA
rnacentral:rRNA from 1 species